rnacentral:tRNA from 1 species
AUCUAAAUAGCUUAAGUUAGAGCAUAAUAUUGAAGAUAUUAGGGUAAUAUUUUUAUUUUUAGAUA